AGCAGCCGCGGUAAUUCCAGCUCCAAUAGCGUAUAUUAAAGUUGUUGCAGUUAAAAAGCUCGUAGUUGAAUUUCGGAGUUCUACCGUCGGUCGGGCUACCAAGUCUGUACUGGUGUGUAGAAUUCCUACCUUCUGGGGAACCAUCAUGUUAUUAAUUUAGCGUGGUGAGAAACCAGGACCUUUACCUUGAAAAAAUUAGAGUGUUCAAAGCAGGCUUAUGUCUGAAUACAUUAGCAUGGAAUAAUAGAAUAGGACGGUGGUCCUGUUUUGUUGGUUUCUGAAUCACCGUAAUGAUUAAUAGGGAUAGUUGGGGGCAUUAGUAUUCAAUUGUCAGAGGUGAAAUUCUUGGAUUUAUUGAAGACUAACUUCUGCGAAAGCAUUUGCCAAGGAUGUUUUCAUUAAUCAAGAACGAAAGUUAGGGGAUCGAAGACGAUCAGAUACCGUCGUAGUCUUAACCAUAAACUAUGCCGACUAGGGAUCGGACGAUGUUAAAUUUUAUUGACUCGUUCGGCGCCUUACG
rnacentral:rRNA from 1 species